GAUGAACGCUGGCGGCGUGCCUAAUACAUGCAAGUCGAGCGAACAGACGAGGAGCUUGCUCCUUUGACGUUAGCGGCGGACGGGUGAGUAACACGUGGGUAACCUACCUAUAAGACUGGGAUAACUUCGGGAAACCGGAGCUAAUACCGGAUAAUAUUUCGAACCGCAUGGUUCGAUAGUGAAAGAUGGCUUUGCUAUCACUUAUAGAUGGACCUGCGCCGUAUUAGCUAGUUGGUAAGGUAACGGCUUACCAAGGCAACGAUACGUAGCCGACCUGAGAGGGUGAUCGGCCACACUGGAACUGAGACACGGUCCAGACUCCUACGGGAGGCAGCAGUAGGGAAUCUUCCGCAAUGGGCGAAAGCCUGACGGAGCAACGCCGCGUGAGUGAUGAAGGUCUUCGGAUCGUAAAACUCUGUUACUAGGGAAGAACAAACGUGUAAGUAACUGUGCACGUCUUGACGGUACCUAAUCAGAAAGCCACGGCUAACUACGUG
rnacentral:rRNA from 1 species